UCCUGGCUCAGGGACGAACGCUGGCGGCGUGCCUUAAUACAUGCAAGUCGAGCGAAGAGAUGGGAGCUUGCUCCCUGAUCUUAGCGGCGGACGGGUGAGUAACACGUGGGCAACCUGCCCUGCAGACUGGGAUAACUCCGGGAAACCGGAGCUAAUACCGGGUAAUACAUCGCACCGCAUGGUGCAAUGUUGAAAGUUGGCCUUUGGCUAACACUGCAGGAUGGGCCCGCGGCGCAUUAGCUAGUUGGUAAGGUAACGGCUUACCAAGGCGACGAUGCGUAGCCGACCUGAGAGGGUGAUCGGCCACACUGGGACUGAGACACGGCCCAGACUCCUACGGGAGGCAGCAGUAGGGAAUCUUCCGCAAUGGACGAAAGUCUGACGGAGCAACGCCGCGUGAGUGACGAAGGCCUUCGGGUCGUAAAGCUCUGUUGUUAGGGAAGAACAAGUACCGUUCGAAUAGGGCGGUACCUUGACGGUACCUAACCAGAAAGCCACGGCUAACUACGUGCCAGCAGCCGCGGUAAUACGUAGGUGGCAAGCGUUGUCCGGAAUUAUUGGGCGUAAAGCGCGCGCAGGCGGUCUUUUAAGUCUGAUGUGAAAGCCCACGGCUCAACCGUGGAGGGUCAUUGGAAACUGGAGGACUUGAGUGCAGAAGAGGAGAGUGGAAUUCCACGUGUAGCGGUGAAAUGCGUAGAUAUGUGGAGGAACACCAGUGGCGAAGGCGGCUCUCUGGUCUGUAACUGACGCUGAGGCGCGAAAGCGUGGGGAGCAAACAGGAUUAGAUACCCUGGUAGUCCACGCCGUAAACGAUGAGUGCUAGGUGUUGGGGGGUUCCACCCUCAGUGCUGAAGUUAACACAUUAAGCACUCCGCCUGGGGAGUACGACCGCAAGGUUGAAACUCAAAGGAAUUGACGGGGGCCCGCACAAGCAGUGGAGCAUGUGGUUUAAUUCGAAGCAACGCGAAGAACCUUACCAGGUCUUGACAUCCUCUGACAAUCCUGGAGACAGGACGUUCCCCUUCGGGGGACAGAGUGACAGGUGGUGCAUGGUUGUCGUCAGCUCGUGUCGUGAGAUGUUGGGUUAAGUCCCGCAACGAGCGCAACCCUUGAUCUUAGUUGCCAGCAUUCAGUUGGGCACUCUAA
rnacentral:rRNA from 2 species